rnacentral:rRNA from 1 species
UACGAGGGGGGCAAGCGUUGUUCGGAAUUAUUGGGCGUAAAGGGUGCGUAGGCGGUUUUGUAAGUCUUGGGUGAAAUCUUCAGGCUCAACUUGAAGACUGCACGAGAAACUGCAGGGCUUGAGUGUGGGAGAGGUGAGUGGAAUUCCUGGUGUAGCGGUGAAAUGCGUAGAUAUCUGCAGGAACACCCGUGGCGAAAGCGGCGCGCUGGACCACUACUGACGCUGAGGAACGAAAGCUAGGGGAGCAAACAGG